rnacentral:rRNA from 1 species
GGAAUCUUCCACAAUGGACGAAAGUCUGAUGGAGCAACGCCGCGUGUGUGAUGAAGGGUUUCGGCUCGUAAAACACUGUUGUAAGAGAAGAAUGACAUUGAGAGUAACUGUUCAAUGUGUGACGGUAUCUUACCAGAAAGGAACGGCUAAAUACGUGCCAC